AUGGUCAAUUGACCCCCUAAGGAGUUAUUGUCCUUUAUAGUCAAUUUUUAACAAUUUUCAUAAAAUUUGUAAAUUUUUACUAACAUUUUCCACUGAAACUACUGAGCCAAGUUCAUUAUAGAUAGAGAUAAUUUUAAGCAGCAAGAAUGUUCAGUAAAGUAAGAUGUACAAACACAUCACCAUCACCAAAACACAAUUUUGUCAUGAAUCCAUCUGCUUCCUUUGUUUAAUAUUCACAUAGAC
rnacentral:lncRNA from 1 species